rnacentral:rRNA from 1 species
UACGUAGGGGGCAAGCGUUGUCCGAAGUUACUGGGCGUAAAGCGCACGUAGGCGGUUAUCUAAGUCUGGGGUGAAAGGUUCAGUGCUUAACGCGAACAGUGCCUUGGAGACUGGAUGACUUGAGUUUGGGAGAGGGUAGUGGAAUGGCUGGUGUAGCGGUGAAAUGCGUAGAUAUCAGUCGGAACACCAAUGGCGAAGGCAGCUACCUGGCCUAAAACUGACGCUGAGGUGCGAAAGCGUGGGGAGCGAACGGG